UGGGGAAUAUUGGACAAUGGGCGAAAGCCUGAUCCAGCCAUGCCGCGUGUGUGAAGAAGGUCUUCGGAUUGUAAAGCACUUUAAGUUGGGAGGAAGGGCAUUUACCUAAUACGUAAGUGUUUUGACGUUACCGACAGAAUAAGCACCGGCUAACUCUGUGCCAGCAGCCGCGGUAAUACAGAGGGUGCAAGCGUUAAUCGGAAUUACUGGGCGUAAAGCGCGCGUAGGUGGUUCGUUAAGUUGGAUGUGAAAUCCCCGGGCUCAACCUGGGAACUGCAUUCAAACUGACAAGCUAGAGUAUGGUAGAGGGUGGUGGAAUUUCCCUGUGUAGCGGUGAAAUGCGUAGAUAUAGGAAGGAACACCAGUGGCGAAGGCGACCACCUGGACUGAUACUGACACUGAGGUGCGAAAGCGUGGGGAGCAAAACAGGAUUAGAUACCCUGGUAGUCCACGCCGUAAACGUGUCAACUAGCCGUUGGGAGCCUUGAGCUCUUAGUGGCACAGCUAACGCAUUAAGUUGACCGCCUGGGGAGUACGGCCGCAAGGUU
rnacentral:rRNA from 1 species